rnacentral:rRNA from 1 species
AUUGAACGCUGGCGGCAUGCCUUACACAUGCAAGUCGAACGGCAGCACGGGUGCUUGCACCUGGUGGCGAGUGGCGAACGGGUGAGUAAUACAUCGGAACAUGUCCUGUAGUGGGGGAUAGCCCGGAGAAAGCCGGAUUAAUACUGCAUACGAUCCACGGAUGAAAGCGGGGGACAUUCGGGCCUCGCGCUAUCGGGUUGGCCGAUGGCUGAUUAGCUAGUUGGUGGGGUAAAGGCCUACCAAGGCGACGAUCAGUAGCUGGUCUGAGAGGACGACCAGCCACACUGGGACUGAGACACGGCCCAGACUCCUACGGGAGGCAGCAGUGGGGAAUUUUGGACAAUGGGCGAAAGCCUGAUCCAGCAAUGCCGCGUGUGUGAAGAAGGCCUUCGGGUUGUAAAGCACUUUUGUCCGGAAAGAAAUCCUUGACUCUAAUACAGUCGGGUGAUGACGGUACCGGAAGAAUAAGCACCGGCUAACUACGUG